AGGGUGCAGCGCAUCCCCCACCUUCUGCGCACGCUCUGUAGCCCGGGAUAGCGUUUGAGCUGUGCGCAGGCGCAACGGGGAGAUGUGCUCCGGCGCCAUCUUGGUGGCGAUUUUUGCUGUUUGAGGUCCUGUUGAAGCGGCAGCAGAAGCAGCGACCGCGAGGAGGUUGAGGUGGGCCAGGAAAUUCUUUGGUUUCAGCUGGUGUUCGGCGGGUUUUCCAUCGUUUUUUCAUCGGAGCUUUUAGAUUACUGUCUAAUGGGGUGGUAAAUGGAAUCCAAGUCAAGUGAUUUACCAAAUGCCUUGCAAGAGCUAACAGACACCACAUUGUCCAAACAGGCAGAAAACUAGCCACAAAAUGACAUGACCCACUCUCACUCAUAUCCUUACAUACGGAUGAGGAAGGACACCACUUCGACUGGGACAACACAUCCAUCAGAGAAUAAGCCAAACAGAGGCAUGCACAAGAAUUCCUAGAAACAUGGCAUUCCAACUGGAACUCUAUCAACAAACACUUUGACUUUGAUCCCAUCUACAGCCCCCUGAGAAAAAUGGGAAAUGAUGUCACCAUAGGAAUUGUUCACACCACAGAAAAUGACAUGACCAACCCAAGAAAACCAAACAUAUAAAUAGAAAACAGGCUACACCACCAGUGUUUCAUCCAGAGGCUCACUGAAGAUGUUAUCUAAUAUAAUGAUGCAACGUCUGAAAAUGAACCUUCCAGCUCACAAGCAAACCUACAUCCAGAACUUCAACCUGAGCUACAAAUCUUCUCAAAACACGAGUACAGUAGUGAUGCAGUGCUACACUAAGGUCUUCUUUCAGCUUUCAUCGCAUAUUCAACUUGGAACACUCGCCCAUCAGGAGAGAAGGUGGAGGCUGACAAAUCAUACUGGAAAUUAAAAACAAACAAAAUUAUUUUGCAGCCAUCAGCUAAACCAAAAUUAUAAAUAAGCCUCACAAGUAAAUUCAGGUGGCACCAAGUCCAAAAAUAAAGUCUACAUCAAAAGUAGAACACAAAGACCAUUUGGCCCACUCAACUGUGCUACUUUUUGUACUCCACACAAGCCCCUUCUCAACCUAGCUACUUCACAUAAGCCUCAAUACCUUUAUAUUCCCUUUUCAUCAUACUCAUCUGGAGUCAGAGGUGUACAACACAAGAAAAGGCUUUCAACACUGACUUUGUGCUGGUCCAAAAUCACCUAACUUUUCUAAUCCUAUUUCCAGCAUUUCACCUUGCAUACCUUAGGAUCACAAGUGCACAUCUAAAUACUUCUCAAAUGUUGAGGUUUCUGCAUCUACUACUCUUACAGGCAGAGAGUUCCAGAAUUCGAUCACCUUCUGGGUGAGGGAGAAACUUGUCCCUUACCUUAUAUUUAUGCCCAUGAUUACUGAUCCCUCCACCAAGAAAAUAAUUUUCUGUCUAUGCCUCUCAAAUCUUAUAUAUCUGAAUCACCAAACCUUUCUCCCAACUGACACCUCUGCUCCAUGGAAAACAAAUCUCAGUCUUCAGAACUAAAACUCUUCAAUCCAGGCAACAUUCUGGUAAAUCUCUUCUGGAAAUACACCUUUCCUAUCAACAUGGAAUCCAGAACUACUCAUAAUACCCCAGAUGUGGCCUGACCAACUUUUUAUAUGGUUCCAGUGUAGCCUCUUUGCUCUUAUACUGUGCCACGGCUAAUAAAGACAAGAAUGCCAUAUGCGUUCUCGAUCACUUUAUCUGCCUGUCCUGUUAUCUUAAAGGACUAGUGGAAAUGCACUCAAAGGUUGCUCUCAGCCCUUUUGAUAGCAUAUAAACCUUGAUCACCAUUACCGUUAUCCUUCCCACAGUGUUUCUCCUUAUCUUCAAAUAUAUGUUUAUUGUUGUUGGCUAGGAGCAAUGUUUGUUGGUUCUGCUUCUCAAGCUCUACUACAUUUUUCUUAUACAUAUUCCUGCAUCUGCUUUUUUCAGAUGUAUACUCUGCAAUAAAUAAUCCAGUAAUUUUUAGUGGGACAGUGUCUCUUGCUGCAAAUCCAGUUUAAUGUUUGAGCCAAACAACUUCAGGCAGAGGUUUCUUGCAGAUUUAGCAGCAUGGGAUAGCCUCACUCUGUCCACAAACAUACAAAUGCUACAACCCAAAACACUGAUGUCUUAGUUUGUGCUAUAUUUCUCUUUAAAUCAAAAAAUUAAAACUCGACAUGGUUUUGUGCCUACCAUGUAACUAAACCUGUAUGUAAUAGUUACUAGAUAGUAAUCAGCAGGAAGAACUCUGAUCAAUCCCUCAAGAACUACUUGCAUUUAGCUUUAACCUUGAGCAUAGUGACAACAGCAUUACCAAUGUUCAAUAAUGAACUGUACACAGAACUAUGAAGACAAUUUAAGUAAUACCAAAAAAGAAUUCGAAAUAGGUCUUUUGAGUCUGCUCCACCAUUUAACAAAAUUACAGCUGUUCAAAGUUUGGGAGAAGAUUUGUUGCUCGGGUGCUUGUUGUUGUGGUUCUGUUCGCCGAGCUGGGAGUUUUUGUUGCAAACGUUUCGUCCCCUUUCUAGGUGAUAUCCUCAGUGCUUGGGAGCCUCCUGUGAAGCACUUUAAAUAUUAAUGGCCCUCGGAAGACAGACAUUCUUUUAAUUUUACAUUAGAAGAUUCUUAUAUUGAAAUUCUAGAUUCUCCCAUAAGGAAAUACCCUCUGAUUAUUUAUUCUGUCAAGUUUCCUAAAGUUGACAAGCAGGAGGCUGGAAGAAUACAGGAAGCCAGGCAGCAUUAGGAGGUGGAGAAGUCAAUGUUUCUCUGUCCACCUAAAACAUGUUUGAAGAAGCUAUCCGCCUCCCUCAGAUGUGUUUGAAGAAAUUCUCCAGAAGUCUUAUGUAUUUCAACACUGUCCCAGGGAUAGGAAAACGAUGUCACAAGGUCUAAAUUCCUUUAGCAAUAUUAGCUACAAUAUAUUCAGUCCUAUUAUCCAUGUGAGUAAUUUAGAUUCUAAGUAAUGGUAACUUCAACAAUGAAAUCCGCAGCAUCCCACUAUUAGGUUCUUCCCACUUGAAAAUGACCCAUUUAUUUCCAGCUAUGUUCCCUGUAAAUGAGCCAGUCAUGUUAAUAUGUUAACAAUAACCCACACAUAGUAAUCUUUUAUUUGGCACGAUAAGAAUGUAUCAGAAAGUGUAUUUGGAUUUCCAAAAGUCAAAAUACCCAGGUUUCCCUUUAUCUACCAAGCGUGUUAUAUCCUGAAGAACUCAACUGGUAUCAGACAAAAUUUCCCUUUCACAAAACUGUGUUGACUGUUUAAUAACAUUAUGAUUUCCAAUCCACUGGGACUGUUCCCCAAAAACAGAAAAUUUCAAAAGAUUACACUUCUUUUAAGACCCGAUGAUACAGACCAACAGGUCGAGGGGACCUGAUAGCCAUUAGUUUUCCCUCAUACUUCUCUGCUCCCCUGCAUAAGUGAUUACCUGUAUUUUUAAGUCUCCCUACUCUGGUAUUAUUUGCUGAUGCCACGAAUGAUUGUAUACUUUCUUUCUGUCACACUAUGGUUACAAUCACUCCUAUCGUUAGCCUACACAGUUGCCUUCACCUUUCUCAAUAUUCCCACAGGCAAACCCUCCUUCCCACUGUUUAGUUCAAUGUCCCAUCAAUAGCCCUAGCUAUACAAUACAAUUUGCCAGAUCCUAGCACUAUUCAAGUAUAGGCUUUCCCAACAAAAAGAAACACCUAUUCAAGGAGUUAAGUUCUAAACAGUGUCAGGUAGUGAAUCAGGUAAGUAGGGAGGAAUGUUUGGAGCUUGAGGACUGAACAGGCUUAGGCACACCCACCAAUUCAGGGGCAAUUUCAACUCAGGAAAAGGCAAGUACCUAAAAUUGCUGGAUUCUGCCCUGGGGACUAUAGGACCAAGAGAGGAUUCAGAAAUACUUAUGGCCAAAACAAGGGAGGAAUUUGAUGAAAAGGAUGAUAAAUUUUAAAACCAAGACAUUGUUAGGUUUGAACAGAGGGGUAAUAAAAUCCAGGAAUCCUAUCCUGGUCAAACAGUUAACCUCCUGCUUGGAUUCUUACUUUGGAGUCUAGCUUCUACAGUUUUUUUACUCUAAACAGUUAACUCAGCACAGAUCAUGAAUUGAGUUUGAAGCCUUCUAACAAAACCCAGGCAAGCACUGGGUAAACUGUCAUUAAUGAAGCACAGUAAAUCGCUCAAUUCCAUAUAUAAUAGUUUUCACUUCAAACAUAAUACUUUCAUUCAG